AUACGUAGGGGGCGAGCGUUGUCCGGAAUGAUUGGGCGUAAAGGGCGCGUAGGCGGCCCGGUAAGUCUGGAGUGAAAGUCCUGUUUUUAAGAUGGGAAUUGCUUUGGAUACUGUCGGGCUUGAGUGCAGGAGAGGUAAGUGGAAUUCCCAGUGUAGCGGUGAAAUGCGUAGAGAUUGGGAGGAACACCAGUGGCGAAGGCGACUUACUGGACUGUAACUGACGCUGAAGCACGAAAGCGUGGGUAUCGAACAGGAUUAGAUACCCUGGUAGUCCACGCAGUAAACGAUGAACACUGGCUGUCCGGCCCGAGCGAGGGCUGGGUGGCGUAGCGAAAGCGUUAAGUGUUCCACCUGGGGAGUACGCCGGCAACGGUGAAACUCAAAUGAAUUGGCGGGG
rnacentral:rRNA from 1 species